GGAGGUCCUGGCAACUGCAGACUCACUGCACCUGAACGGGUGUGGAGCUCAGGGAAUUCAGGUGUUAACUAAUGCUAACAAUGAGAAUGCCUGGGAUUAUAUAAUUGCAAUAAUGGGGGUGAUUCUUUCUUUUCAGUGAACAGGAACUGUUGGAUGAGAGAGAGAUGGUUUCUAGCCUGGCAUCCUUCUUCAGAUUUGAAGAAUCAGCGAACACAGAUUCUUAAGUCUCAAGAGUUCUGCUUUUUUUGGAGCAGGACCUGGGUGCUCAGCCAGGAUGUGCUUCACCCACCUCACCUGGGAACCUGGCACAGCAAUACUGCACAAACUGACUGCUUUGCACCAGUGAGUCUCUUCCAGGUCAUAGUUGGAUGAAAGAUCCACAGCAACACUGAAGUAUUUGAGAGAGAUCCUUGGAUGCAAUGGGAUCUUUAUGCUGACAGACUGAUUGCUAAUGGGAUGCUGUGUGAUGCAUGGACUGGGACACCCUAGAUCUGAAGACCUAAAAUGACAAGUGAAACAAGAUAAGGU
rnacentral:lncRNA from 1 species